GUCAAGGGGGAAAAAUACUCCUGAGGAGUUGUCUGAGCCAAUUCUGCACCCUGGGAAGCUGAAAAGCUUGCUUUCCCUUGUAGUGCAUUAAAAAGCUUUGUUAUAAUCCCACUACUGUUGUGGCCAAAUAAACACUUUUAAAAUGUGGUUUAUAACUUGACACUCUUUCUUUGCAGAAACAGUGUUUCCGGACCAAAGCGACUUCGAAUAUGAUUAUGAGACGUUGCGGACAACAGGGGUUAUCCUUGCUGUCAUUAUGUUUGUCUCUGGCAUAUUAAUAGCCCUGAGUAAAAAAUUCACA